GCCGCCGUAGCUCAGUGGCCGAGCGCUUGCUUGGUACGGAAGAGGUCCGGGGUUCGACUUCCCGCGGCGGCUGCA
rnacentral:tRNA from 1 species